ACGGGUGCGUAACACGUGAGCAAUCUGCCGGGAAGUGGGGGAUAGCUCGCCGAAAGGCGAAUUAAUACCGCAUAUGGCCAGGGGGGACAUCCUCCCGAAGCCAAAGUCGCAAGACGCUUCCUGAUGAGCUCGCGGCCUAUCAGCUUGUUGGUGAGGUAACGGCUCACCAAGGCUCUGACGGGUAGCUGGUCUGAGAGGACGACCAGCCACACUGGAACUGAGACACGGUCCAGACACCUACGGGUGGCAGCAGUCGAGAAUUUUUCACAAUGGGGGAAACCCUGAUGGAGCGACGCCGCGUGGAGGAUGAAGGUCUUCGGAUUGUAAACUCCUGUCAUGCGGGAACAAGAAAGUGAUAGUACCGCAAGAGGAAGAGACGGCUAACUCUGUGCCAGCAGCCGCGGUAAUACAGAGGUCUCAAGCGUUGUUCGGAUUCAUUGGGCGUAAAGGGUGCGCAGGCGGCGUGGAAAGUUGAGUGUGAAAUCCCGGGGCUUAACCUCGGAACUGCACUCAAUACUCCCAUGCUAGAGGAAUGUAGAGGAGAGUGGAAUUCACGGU
rnacentral:rRNA from 1 species